CUAAGUUAUUGGCUACGGAGUGUUUCUCACAAUUUGGGGGCUCAUCUGGGAUCCAGUCACCUACUGGGGAGCCCCACCGUCACAGCAGCAGGAGGGCAUGCCCCGCUGCUUUCAGCGGUCCUGUGCAUCAACGGGGGUGGUUCUGUGGAGAGCUGACAGAUGAACCAAGACUGAUUAAAGAGGCAGGAUCCGUGAAGUAGUGGGGAAAGGAAGAAGCAGGCUGGCUCUCUAUGAAGCUGAAAUCCCCAAGCAGAACCAAAGGGAUGUGCUUUUCCAGGCAGAGGACCACCCUGUGCCCUGCAAUGGGUCUCCAAGUACACCAGAGAGAUGCUCUUCACUCCUGCCAGAGCCAGCAGACAGCAGUGAGCCAAGGUGCCCACGGAUUUCACACGUGGCUUGAGAACAUAACAAACAACAUUUCAGCGCUGCUGGUUCUGGAAGCGAGAGGUGUGGGAAAAGCAAAGAACAAGGAGUCCACGGUCUUCGGAAGUACCACUAAUAUAGGUCAUUUUCAAUCUUGGAGCAAAAUGCACUGUGGUUUACAUGGUGGUAAACUUGGAGCAGAACCUGAAAAGCCCAUGGGACUUCUAAUGUAUGUAUGUGUAUGUCAAAUUUAAAUUACAAACAUGCACGCUGCUACAAGAAAGGCCAGCAGCUCUGUGAGAGAAGGACCAGCCCGCUCUCUGGCCAGUCCCCUAGAGAUCAGCUCUGAUGUGCUGACAUCUUUUCAGAUGUUUUUGGGAAAGCAGCUCUUGGAGAAGAGGUGGUGGUGUCUGGCAAGCUUAGGUGAUUGUCAUCUGGCCAGCUAGCAGGUGCCAAGGGAAAGCUGUCCUUUACCGUGACUGCUGCAAGCAGGCAGCAGAGCAGGGCAGGUUUGUCGCUGCUCCCAGGAAGCCGCCCCAAGAAGCAGCUUGCAGGGCAGAUGGAGCCGGAGAGGAGCUCUGCUGCGGCAGGGAUGCUCAGCAAGGUCACGGCGUGGCUGAAGCCUUGCUGAGCACCUCUGCCGGAUCCUUAGCCCUGUCCACCCACCCAUGGGAAUUCAGAAAGGCGGCAGCCCCCUCUGUGCUGCUCCAGGCCCAUUGACACGAAACUUUAAUGGACGAACAAACAAAAACCUUUCAAUGUCUUGUUGGCACUCUGCAGCAACCCCAGAGCCUCCGUCUCUUACCUAGCCUGCUGGGUGCUGGGAGGGACACGAGGAAGUGGGGCAUGGCCAGUGAAAUGCAGGGAAAUGGGGAGUUUUAGAGUGACUCUGCUCCUUGCUUGAGCUUUUGUGCUGUUUUUCUCAUGCCUCCUCUGCAGCAGCACCAACUGAGGAAGUUGGAGCACCAGCUUUGUCUCUUUUUACAGGUGACGGUAAAUCCCACCAUAAAUCAGAAGGCCAAGUUUAAGGGCAUUCCACAAAGACUCAGUAAAAAUCUACGGGCAUAUGACAGUCUGGUGUUCAUUGUUUCAUCUCAUGUUGCUGAUGUCUGCCUAAUGCAGCCUGACCCUUGGAUGCCAAACCUCACUCUGUAAAAUGCCCUUCUUCACCGCUACCCAUGCCAUCAGCCUCUGCUACAGCCACUGAACAAGAUGCUCACAGCCCUGAGACAGUCAAGUAGGAAAAGGUGACCCAAAAGGGAAACAGCAUCGCUGAAACCCAGAGCAAGCAAAUUGAGAAAAGAAGUGGGAAAGAUGGAAACAACCAAGGCUGGGGUGAUGGGAGAAGUAAAAGAAAUGAUCUGGCCGUAUUGCAGUAUUGGUCCACAAGAGCUUUAUCUCAAAAGCCUUUGUGCCCUCAAGAAACAUCUCCACCCCUGCUUAUCUUAAGCAAAUGGUGGCAGAAAGCCUGAGCUGAACAAACAGGUUGUUAGGCCGCCAGUAGACGUCGGGAGCUUUGCUCCAUUUUAUUACACCCAAAGUUCAGGGUGGGAUUUAUUUUCGGAGGCAGUGGGAAGUGGGCAGGGCUGGGUUUAUAGCAGCACUGAAGACACUGCCUCUGCAACAGCAGCGACAGAAAUACUGUGACUGAAGGCAGGGCCAAAAGGUAAACAAAUAUUGCAGCUCCAGAAAUGAUCCACAGAAACCAGCCCAGAAACUCAUAACAUAUCCUGAUAAGGUUUCCAUCCACCUUUAUGACAGGUUGAUCGCUGCAGGCCUGGAAAGCCAGGGACAAAAUGGAUCUAUUUAUUUAAAUAUGUUCAGCCAACGCUGAGCACGUUCAGGGUCAGGCUGCAAGGUGUGGACUAGGCGGUGCCCGCGUAGGAUGAGCAGUUGGGGACAUACCCCACCAGAGAUGUUCCCAUCACCUCUGUGGCCGGUGUUUGUCAUCACCAGGGGCACUUUGAGCAAAGCCAGCUGCUGGGACAUCACUUGCCGGUAUCUCUUCCCCUUCCAGGAAUUCCCACAAAGGUGGCCUGCCAUCCACUCUCCUCUGACAUGAGGGGAAUUUUCUACCUCUUGAAAGAAGAGGGUUGUGGCACAACCCAAAGCCUUGACCUGAUUUGGAAGCCAUGGAAGAAUACCAAACAAUGGCAGGAAGGGGCCUGUAAAUGAUUUCCUCUCUGUUAAAAUUUAAGUGAUAAAUCUGUUCCUUCAAAUUUCAAACUAUUCAUUUUUCCUGGAAGGUGCUCACAAUAUUAGCUUAUUAGAUUAUAGCUAAUAAUCACAAUUAUUAGCUUAUUAGCUGAUUAUUAGAAUCAGUCAGUGCUCCUUUUUUAUCAGGACUCAAAGCCAACUGAAUAGAAAGUGCAACGAUUUCACACCGUGCUCCAAGCCCAAGGCAAAAGGUGGCUCAGUCGUUACAGCCCUGCGCUGUGGUGGCUCUCCCAUCAUGCAGCAUGCACAGCACAGCACACAUGUCUUCUGGCCACCUCCAAGGAUGCUUCUUCAGUCUAAAUUCAGCUGUUGGGUCGGCAAAGGUGCCUGUGUUUCCAGACACCCCAGGAGCACAGGUCUUCAGGCUUCACCGCCACCAAGCCCCGUAGCGACGGAGGAGGAAGGAUGCUCUGCGGGACCUCAGGAAUAGGACGUGCUCGCCUGAUGAAUCAUGGCAUGGUGCAACACGCCUAUCAAAUGGGAGGCAUAGGAAGUUGUUUCUUGGGAGAUGUCCCGGUUUGGAGGAUUUCCUGAUUAACUGCAUCUUUGGGGAGUGUGCCAUAAGUGUACAUUGCCAGCAAAGGCUGAACGUGGAGCUGCAGCGUGAUUCGGUGGUGAGCACCUCGGAGGAGACUCUUUUCCCAAAGAAAGGGUGGGGAUACAGAUGAGCAACGACUGUGAUGGCAAACAUGGUGACAGCUAAACACACUCCUUCCUUGGUUAUCGUUAAAAGUACCAGGUCAAUUUCCUACAGGGCUCUGCCCUCCCACAUUGCCCCAAGGGUGCAAACUCCUGUAAUCCCAUUUGCUGAGUGUUAACGACAGUUUUUAUGGCCCCUCUCUCAAAACUGUGGGCAUUUUAAUGAAUUACAGUCUCUACACACGCAGAGUCCCAGAUCUGAAGAAGCAUCACUUCAACUCUGUCUCUUCCCACCCCUUUUCCCCAGCUUUUGCUAUCAGCUCCCAGCAGAGCAAACACCCACUAGACAGACGAUAGCGUAGACCCUGGCAUUAAAUACUUGGGGGCAGCUUCAUCCCUCUGCAACCAGCCCUGGGAUAAAACCAAAGACACAGAGAACGGCAGGAACAGCUUGGCAUCAAGCUGCCCAUGUGAGAUAAAGGAUGCAAAUGUAAUUAAAGCAUUAUAAUAAUUAGGCAAAGUACCUCCAGUGAAAUGCACCUUGAACCUUCCUCAGUGCCAUCUGCUGAUGACUGACAGCAAGUUUUCUGGGCUCUGUUUUAAACACUUGGCCCCAUAGCUCCUGAAUUAUAUAUAAUUCUAAGAAUUAUAUAUAAAAAUCUUGGAGAAAUAUAUAUAAAAACUUUGAAAUCCUGCAUAAAGUCUCCUCAGAGGAACCGCAGACACAUAGUACCCACUGACACAACCGUGCUGGGCAGGGGCAGCAGCAGGAGCCAUGGAGCGAGGUACACACUGGAAGCAUUGAUGCCGGGUGCUCCAGAUGCACUGACACAGACACGUGGUGCCAUAGGAAGAGUAUAAAAAGAAAUCCCCUUUGUUACCAGAAUCCGCAAAUCCAAAAUCAGUCACAAUCUGAUUUAGGAAACUGAGUUUUUCCCAUGUUAAAGCAAAAUGGAAACAAUACUUCAUGAGUGGAAGUAACUUUAAUUGUUUUAACUGAUGUAAUUUUAGUGUUGUUUAGGUUUAUUGUUUAUUUGUAUGCAUUUCCUCUAGCCUGGUCAUGCUUAAAAACAAACCUUAUUGUCAGCAGUAAAGCGUCCCAUCCGUAAAUAAAUGCAUUUAUCCAGUAAAUACAGAUA